GGCAGCUGCGCGCGGGUUUAGUCCAUCGCGUCGUGCGAAUGUCGUGACAGGAAAUAUGAGGCCUUUGGGUUUGAAACACCCCCGACUUCUGAGGCCUGGUCCCAACGACACACUCCGGAGCGGGACACAGCGCUGGCGUGGGCUAACGCAGAAGCAGCGCGCUCUGUUCUCACCCGCAGGUUGGCUUUCAUUUCCAGAGCAAACGGCUCUUCUUCGCCCAGUCACGGCCUUGUGGUUCAGCACCGUUCUAACAAUCGGCCUUCAUCAGCUGGUUGGCUUCUCACUCAGGUUUCUGCAGCGGUGUAACCUGAAGGCAGGUGUGAGAGGAGGGAGGUGAGCGGGCAGCACUGGGACUCACAUCCAAGCGAUGGAGUUGAUCGUGAAGCCCAGCAGAGGUAGAUGGGCUUCACCCUGUCACAGAAAAUCCAGUGUUUUGGGUUUUUUUAAGAACCGGGACCUCUCACAGCCAUGCUGAAAUAUGGAUCUGCUGGUAUUUACAGUGGCAAGGAGGGUGAGGUCUCAAAGGUCCAGAUGAAUCAAAUCGGACAGAACAAAGAUGAAGGACAUCACAUCAUGCUGAAUGUAUGCUGAUUGCUAGUCAAGGGCAAGAGUGGAGCCCCGUAUACUUAGCUUCACAAAGCAGAGAUGUCUGGAGACUCUGAAAUAAUUGGGGGAAAGGACCUCAUGUGGCACCCUCUCAGGAUCUAUUUUCUACCAAGAAGAGGAGCUGACACAAAAGCUUGAUACAAGCCUGUUAAACCUGCACUUUGGGGCAGAAGUUGAUUUUGAGAGAAGAUCACAGUCAGCAAGGAGUUCUGUAACUAUCUGAAAUUAGUAGAGAUGAAGGA